AUACGUAGGGAGCGAGCGUUGUCCGGAUUUACUGGGUGUAAAGGGUGCGUAGGCGGCUCUGCAAGUCAGGUGUGAAAACCUUCGGCUUAACUGAUGGACUGCAUUUGAAACUGUGGGGCUUGAGUGGAGUAGAGGCAGACGGAAUUCCCGGUGUAGCGGUGAAAUGCGUAGAGAUCGGGAAGAACACCAGUGGCGAAGGCGGUCUGCUGGGCUCUAACUGACGCUGAGGCACAAAAGCAUGGGUAGCAAACAGGAUUGGAUACCCUGGUAGUCCAUGCCGUAAACGAUGAUUACUAGGUGUGGGGGGUCUGACCCUCUCCGUGCCGGAGUUAACACAAUAAGUAAUCCGCCUGGGAAGUACGACCGCAAGGUUGAA
rnacentral:rRNA from 1 species